rnacentral:rRNA from 1 species
GAUCAUGGCUCAGGACGAACGCUGGCGGCGUGCUUAACACAUGCAAGUCGAACGGUGACCCAGGGCUUGCCCUGGUGAUCAGUGGCGAACGGGUGAGUAACACGUGGGCAACCUGCCCCUGACUUCGGGAUAACUCCUCGAAAGAGGAGCUAAUACCGGAUACGACCACUUCGGACAUCCGAUGGUGGUGGAAAGUUUUUCGGUCAGGGAUGGGCCCGCGGCCUAUCAGCUAGUUGGUGGGGUAAUGGCCUACCAAGGCGACGACGGGUAGCCGGCCUGAGAGGGCGACCGGCCACACUGGGACUGAGACACGGCCCAGACUCCUACGGGAGGCAGCAGUGGGGAAUAUUGCGCAAUGGGCGAAAGCCUGACGCAGCGACGCCGCGUGAGGGAUGAAGGCCUUCGGGUUGUAAACCUCUUUCAGCAGGGACGAAGCGAAAGUGACGGUACCUGCAGAAGAAGCACCGGCUAACUACGUG